rnacentral:lncRNA from 1 species
AUGCUGUCCAAAUGCUCUUCACUCUUGUCUCUCCCAACCACUGCUGCUUCACUUUUCUCCCCCCCACACCACUGCUGCUUCACGCUUUGUCUCUCCCACACCAACUGCUGCUCACUCUUUGUCUUCCCCACACCAACUGCUGCUUCACUCUUUGUCUCUCCCCACACCAAACUGCUGCUUCACGCUUUGUCUCUCCCCACACCAACUGCUGCUUCACUCUUUGUCUCUCCCACACCAACUGCUGCUCACUCUUUGUCUCUCCCACACCACUGCUGCUUCACCUUUGUCUCUCCCCACACCAACGCUGCUUCACGCUUUGUCUCUCCCCACACCAACUGCUGCUUCACUCUUUGUCUCUCCCCACACAACUGCUGCUUCACUCUUUGUCUCUCCCCACCACACAAUGCUGCUUCACUCUUUGUCUCUCCCCACACCAACUGCUGCUUCACUCUUUGUCUCUCCCCACACCAACUGCUGCUUCACUUUUUCUCUCCCACACCAACUGCUGCCACUCUUUGUCUCCCCCACACCAACUGCUGCUUCACUCUUUGUCUCUCCCCACACCAACUGCUGCUUCACCUUUGUCUCUCCCCACACCAACUGCUGCUUCACCGCUUUGUCUCUCCCCACACCAACUGCUUGCUACGCUGCUUCACUCUUUGUCUCCCCCACACCAACUGCUGCUUCACGCUUUGUCUCCCCCACACCAACUGCUGCUUCACUCUUUGUCUCUCCCCACACCAACUGCUGCUUCACUCUUUGUCUCUCCUCCCCACACCAACUGCUGCUUCACUCUUUGUCCUCCCACACCAACUGCUGCUUCACCUUUUGUCCUCCCCACACAAACUCGCUGCUCUCACCUUGUCUCCCCCACACCAACUGCUGCUCACGCUUUGUCUCUCCCCACACCAACUGCUGCUUCACUCUUUGUCUCUCCCCACACCAACUGCUGCUUCAUGCUUUGUCUCCCCACACCAACUGCGGCUUCACUCUUUGUCUCUCCCCACACCAAACUGCUGCUUCACCUCUUGUCUCUCCCACAACCAACUGCUGCUUCACUCUUGUCUCUCCCCACACCAACUGCUGCUUCACUCUUUGUCUCUCCCCACACCAACGCUGCUUCACUCUUUGUCUCUCCCCACACCAACUGCUGCUUCACUCUUUCUCUCCCCACACCAACUGCUGCUUCACUCUUUGUCUCUCCCCACACCAACUGCUGCUUCACUCUUUGUCUCUCCCCACACCAACGCUGCUUCACUCUUUGUCUCUCCCACACCAACUGCUGCUUCACGCUUUGUCUCUCCCCACACCAACUGCUGCUUCACUCUUGUCUCUCCCACACCAACUGCGCUUCACGCUUUGUCUCUCCCCACACCAACUGCUGCUUCACUUUUGUCUCUCCCCACACCAACUGCUGCUCUCUCAGGGUCUCGGUGUGAGAGGUGUCCUCUGAACUACUGUGGCAGGAAAUCAUAUGAAUUUAAUGUCUGAUGUUAGGUUUUAUGUGGUCUUGUUUAUUCCUUUGUAACUAGGUUUUGAAAUUUUAUUGUAAUGUAAAUGAAGUGUUUUGUAAAUUCACAAGGAUUUGCUUUAUUACAUAUUGAUUGUAUCAUUUUGGUUUUAUUACAGGUAUGGAUGAUGCUACAGUGUAGGUGCAAACCUUCAGUUUGAUUACCAUUUAUUGCACAAAUAAUAAGCAAUGCUUGUGGGGAUUUCUUGUGUACUUUUUUGAUUGACUUGCAAUGCACUUUCAAGCAAUUACUUAAACUUUUGACAAGAGAUUUAUUUUAUUCUUCAUAACAUCAUUAUGGUUCUUGAGCAUUAUGGGAAAAUAUUUGUUGAAAAUAGCUCCUCCUGAAAAAUAAGGAUCAUGAAUGUUUGCAUUACAAUUUCUGCAACACAUUUAAUGACAAAAACACUAUUGCACUAUUGUACUAUGUCUAUUAAAUAAUACUGUUAAAUGUGUACAGAUGUAUUUUCAUUUCACUCGUGAGUUUGGCAUUAAGCGUUAGACAACCCUAAGCAUUAGAGGGAGAGUUUGAAAGAUGAGGGGAUGUCAAACCCAAACCCCC